AAUGUGGGUUAGUCCGCACGAGCGCACCUAUCCUUAUUUGCCAGCGCGUUAUGGCGGGAACUCUAAGGAGACUGCCGGUGAUAAACCGGAGGAAGGUGGGGACGACGUCAAGUCAUCAUGGCCCUUACGGGAUGGGCUACACACGUGCUACAAUGGCGUAUACAGAGUGCUGCAAUACCGCGAGGUGGAGCGAAUCACACAAAGUACGUCGUAGUCCGGAUCGGAGUCUGCAACUCGACUCCGUGAAGUCGGAAUCGCUAGUAAUCGUAGAUCAGAAUGCUACGGUGAAUACGUUCCCGGGCCUUGUACACACCGCCCGUCACACCAUGGGAGUGGGAUGCAAAAGAAGUGGCUAGUUUAACCUUUCGGGGAGGACGGUCACCACUUUGUGUUUCAUGACUGUGGUGAAGUCGUAACAAGGUAACCCUAGGGGAACCUGGGGUUGGAUCACCUCCUU
rnacentral:rRNA from 1 species